rnacentral:rRNA from 1 species
CAGCCGCCACGGUAAAACGAAGGGGGCUAGCGUUGCUCGGAAUUACUGGGCGUAAAGCGUGCGCAGGCGGUCCGCUAAGACAGAUGUGAAAUCCCCGGGCUUAACCUGGGAACUGCAUUUGUGACUGGCGGGCUAGAGUAUGGCAGAGGGGGGUAGAAUUCCACGUGUAGCAGUGAAAUGCGUAGAGAUGUGGAGGAAUACCGAUGGCGAAGGCAGCCCCCUGGGCCAAUACUGACGCUCAUGCACGAAAGCGUGGGGAGCAAACAGGAUUAGAUACCCCCGUAGUCCCUGUCUCUUAUAC